rnacentral:rRNA from 1 species
UUUCUGGUCAAGCGGGAAAGUGCACAGGGUGGAUGCCUAGGCACGAGCCGGCGAUGAAGGACGUGGCAAGCUGCGAAAAGCCUCGGGGAGCUGCAAGCAAGCUUUGAUCCGGGGAUGUCCGAAUGGGGAAACCCGGCGGGGGUGAUGCCCCGUCAUCCGAAAGGGAGCCAACCCGGGGAACUGAAACAUCUAAGUACCCGGAGGAAGAGAAAUCAAAUGCGAGAUUCCCUGAGUAGCGGCGAGCGAAACGGGAAGAGCCCAAACCGGGAGCCCUUGCGGGCACCCGGGGUUGUGGGA